rnacentral:tRNA from 1 species
ACCGGAUUAGCUCAGUUUGGUAGAGCGCCUGGUUUGGGACCAGGAGGCCGUGAGUUCGAUUCUCGUAUCCGGUA